ACUCCUACGGGAGGCAGCAGUGGGGAAUAUUGCUCAAUGGGCGCAAGCCUGAAGCAGCGACGCCGCGUGAGGGAUGAAGGCCUUCGGGUUGUAAACCUCUUUCAGCUCCGAAGAAGCGAAAGUGACGGUAGGAGCAAAAGAAGCACCGGCUAACUACGUGCCAGCAGCCGCGGUAAUACGUAGGGUGCAAGCGUUGUCCGGAUUUAUUGGGCGUAAAGAGCUCGUAGGCGGUCUGUCGCGUCUGCUGUGAAAACUCGGGGCUU
rnacentral:rRNA from 1 species